rnacentral:tRNA from 1 species
GCAACAGUAUUUCAAUUGGCAGAAUGUUAGUCUCCAAAACUAAAGGUUGAUGGUUCGAGUCCAUCCUGUUGUG